rnacentral:rRNA from 1 species
GACAGAGGCCUCGAGCGUUAGGCGGAAUCACUGGGCUUAAAGCGUGUGUAGGCGGGCCCGUAAGUGUCUUGUGAAAUCCCACGGCUCAACCGUGGAACUGCUGGGCAUACUGCGGGUCUUGGGCCAACUAGGGGCAGCCGGAACAAGCGGUGGAGCGGUGAAAUGCGUAGAUAUCGCUUGGAACGCCGAAGGUGAAAACAGGUCGCUGGGGACGCGCCGACGCUGAGACACGAAAGCCAGGGGAGCAAACGGG